UUUCCCUUUCUUUCAGUUUGCUAUUGCGCUGGAUACUUUAAACAUGUCAUUUUCUUCAUCUUCUUCCUAUUUUGGUUAUUUUUAUCGAUCAAUUAAUUUCUACAAUGCUUAUGUUAAUGUUAAAGUUGUAAUUUUUUUUUUCAAUUUUUUUGAAGAUUCAGUACCAGCAUUGACGAGAAAACACUCAUUAUUUGGAAUUUCAUAUGCAUUCACUCGUACACUGUAUUCGCCUACUAGAAAAUGUGUUUUCGAUAAUAUCACAUUAGCUUGAUGCCAUUGAUCAUUUUACGAAUUUUAAUAAGUUUGAUCAAUUUGAUUAAUUUUUAAUUAUAUAUUUGCUCAUAGGUUUUCUUGUGCCUUAUUUUGGUGGAAUGAUCUAAUUGUCGUUUCUGUGGUGCUUGAAGGAACUAUUCAUUGAAUUUUUUAUCUUGAUCUGCAUUGUCUUUGAAUUUGGCUACAGAGAUGGGAACUCAGCAAGACAAGUUUGUUAGGUUAGUUUGAUGAAAAUGUGUGUUUUUAUGUUAUGAUGAGGAUGCUUCUGUAUAUGCUAAUUUUAGAAGUAUUAUAGUUGCUAUUGUAAGCACUCUUUACACUCAUACUGUCUUAGUCACUGUUUCAGUCAUCACUCACCAUUCCUUCAUUUUCUUCUCUUUUCAUCAUGCUUACUCAUUGAGGUGAUGCUGCUUCUGCACUAUCCGUUUCCCACAACAAUGCCACUCUUCUCUUCUCUUCAGAUCUAAAAUAUUGUACUUGAUAUCACACACUCACACUAUGAGAGACUAGGGAUCCCAAAUAAAUAUGGCUAACUUUUACAAGGAUGUUUAGUUAUCAAUGAUGACUUUAUUCUUUUCGUUGAAUGAUCAUACUUUGUUGUUGAUGACCUGCAGAUACACCUAAAAAAUGUUAUUGGCUUCUAUUGAUGAAAAGCACAAGGGUACUAUGACUUUUUUCUAUCUACCAAUUGACUUUAAGAAUAAAUGCAAUGUGGGCUACGCGUUUAUCAACAUGCUGUCGGCAUCACACAUUAUUCCAUUCUAUGAUGUUAUUAGUUUUUGGUGCAUAUUUCUCAUUGUAACUAAUGUGUUUGAUUAUAACUAAUGUAUUUGAUUUUGCAGACAUUUAAUGGGAAGAAGUGGGAGAAGUUUAAUAUGAAAAAGUUGCUCCCCUGGCAUAUGCACGAAUCCAAAGAAAGGCUGCACUGGUAACAAUAUCUAUCAUUGAUGCAUGGAGGAUCAUACAAAGAUUUACUUGUAAAAUAAUGUCCUAACUAAUGUGUGUUUCUAGAUUAUACAAGAUACAAGUGAUUCGACUUUGGAGACAAAAUAACAUUUGCCAGAUGCAGAGUUCCAUGUAUAUUUAUUUAUUUUGCCAGGAAGCUUUCAAAAGAGAAAAGCUCUGAGCAUUUUGGUUGAUUGAUUUGGACCGGAGGUAACAAAGGAUUAAAGAAUUGAAUAUUUAGGUGGUUUAUUAAAAUGUUGAUAUGGUAAAUUUAGAAUUGACUGGUUGAUGGAGCAAGCCAACCAAGUUGUAUAGAGGAUUAGUGUAUUAGCAUUAAUAUAUAUAUAUAUUCUACAUGUAUCUUUGACUCUAGAUUGUUCUCUUGUUUUGGAUAAUGCUAUUUAUGAUUUAUUUUAUUUUGUUUU